rnacentral:rRNA from 1 species
AACGAACGCUGGCGGUGUGCUUAACACAUGCAAGUCGAACGAGAAAGUUUCCUUCGGGAAGCUAGUAAAGUGGCGCAAGGGUGAGUAACACGUGAAUAAUCUGCCCUCGAGAUCGGGAUAACCUGAGGAAACUUAGGCUAAUACCGGAUAAGACCACAUUUCAUAUGGAAUGUGGGAAAAGGAGUCUCAAUCUUCACUCGAGGAUGAGUUCGCGGACCAUUAGCUUGUUGGUGAGAUAAAAGCUCACCAAGGCAACGAUGGUUAGCGGCCUGAGAGGCGAUCGGCCACACUGGAACUGAGACACGGUCCAGACUCCUACGGGAGGCAGCAGUGGGGAAUAUUGCGCAAUGGGCGAAAAGCCUGACGCAGCAAACACCCGUGUGAGCGAAUG